rnacentral:rRNA from 1 species
CCUACGGGAGGCAGCAGUGGGGAAUAUUGCGCAAUGGGCGAAAGCCUGACGCAGCGACGCCGCGUGAGGGAUGAAGGUCUUCGGAUCGUAAACCUCUGUCAGCAGGGAAGAACGGUCACUGUGCUAAUCAGCAGUGAAUUGACGGUACCUGCAAAGGAAGCACCGGCUAACUCCGUGCCAGCAGCCGCGGUAAUACGGAGGGUGCGAGCGUUAAUCGGAAUUACUGGGCGUAAAGCGCUCGUAGGCGGUAUGUCAAGUCAAGGGUGAAAUCCCCGCGCUCAACGUGGGAACUGCCUUUGAUACUGGCAAACUGGAGUGUGUGAGAGGAGAGUGGAAGUCCAGGUGUAGGAGUGAAAUCCGUAGAUAUCGGGAGGAACAUCAGUGGCGAAGGCGACUAUCUGGAACAUAACUGACGCUGAGGAGCGAAAGCGUGGGUAGCAAACAGGAUUAGAUACCCUUGUAGUC